GCUGGGAUGGCUGUGUGGUUAAGGUGUUGGCCUUGAAAUCCAGUUGGUUUUCCCUGCUCAGGUUCAAAUCUGGCUCACAGUG
rnacentral:tRNA from 1 species